rnacentral:rRNA from 1 species
UACGUAGGGUGCGAGCGUUGUCCGGAAUUACUGGGCGUAAAGCGCGUGUAGGCGGUUGUUCAAGUCAGGUGUGAAAGCCUUGAGCUCAACUCAAGAAAUGCACUUGAUACUGGAUGACUAGAGGACCGGAGAGGAUAGUGGAAUUCCCAGUGUAGUGGUGAAAUACGUAGAGAUUGGGAAGAACACCAGUGGCGAAGGCGGCUAUCUGGACGGUUUCUGACGCUAAGACGCGAAAGCGUGGGGAGCAAACAGG